GCCGGCAGCUAGCUCUCUGCAAUGCUCACGGCUAAGCGGAGCUAUGCAAGGUCAGUACCUGGAUGGGAGACCACAUGGGAAAGCUAAGUUGUUGCCAGAA
rnacentral:rRNA from 1 species